AGAGUUUGAUCAUGGCUCAGAUUGAAUGCUGGCGGCAUGGCUAAAACAUGCAAGUCGAACGAACCCGCAAGGGUGAGUGGCGAAAGGGUUAGUAAUACGAUCGAAUGUACCCCGAGGUGGAGGAUAGCGGGAAGAAAUUCCCGGUAAUACUCCAUGAUGUCUUCGGACCAAAGUUUUGGCGCCUUGGGAGCAGCGAUCGUCCUAUCAGGUAGUUGGCGGGGUAAAAGCCCACCAAGCCUUAGACGGGUAGCGGGUGUGAGAGCACGGCCCGCAACAUCGGAACUGAGACACUGUCCGGACUCCUACGGGAGGCUGCAGUAACGAAUCUUCCGCAAUGGGCGCAAGCCUGACGGAGCAAUGCCGCGUGCGGGAUGAAGUAUCUCUGGUAUGUAAACCGCUGUCAGGGGGCAGAAACAAUGAUUGCCCCCAGAGGAAGUGGCGACUAACUCUGUGCCAGCAGUCGCGGUAAUACAGAGGCCACAAGCAUUAGUCGGAAUCACUGGGCUUAAAGGGUGCGUAGGUUGUCCAUCAAGUGCUUUGUGAAAUCCCACGGCUCAACCGUGGAACAGCAGGGCAUACUGAUGGACUUGAGGCAAGUAGGGGCUGACGGAACAGUAGGUGGAGCGGUGAAAUGCGUAGAUAUCUACUGGAACGCCGAUGGUGAAGACGCAGCUGGGCUUGUCCUGACACUGAGGCACGAAAGCGUGGGGAGCAAACAGGAUUAGAUACCCUCGUAGUCC
rnacentral:rRNA from 1 species